GCCACACUAUUUAUACUCCAUGAGAGCAGAGGCGUCCUUUAUUCUGUUGUUAAGUUUCUGGCACCAGGACUGGUACCUACCACGUACUGAAGUUGUUUGAUGAAUGGAUAGAGAAAUACAAGUCGGCAGGACUGGAAUGAUCGUUUGGUAAAGAGAACAUACCAGCAGGGUAUCAAGAACUAGAACAUGACCAAUACUCAGAAGAGCUCCUCCUGCACCUUCCGCACCUAAAGAGAAACCAUCAUGAAAGACGACGCUGACUUUCAAUGCCUUACGUUAGCUACGUGCCUUUAAGAGUUUCCUGGGGACAUCAGCCAAAGCUGCAGACACUACGUCAUGGGAAUCUAACUGUGAGACACAAAUUCACUGGCUGUACGUGUGUUUAUCAGACGCUGAUGCAGGUGAACAGUGACACUUUGUCCAAGGAUGCACAACUGCUACUCUCGUCCAGUCUUAUUCAGUCUGAUUGCAAAGCUAUUCUCUUCACAAUUCUUGGGAGGCUGUGAUAAGUGUGCAAAUGUGUGUAUAUGUACACACCCCCUUUAAAAGGCACGUAUACAUGGGGUGCACAUAUAAGUACAAGAGCUUGCAGCCAAGCCUGAUGGCCUGAGUUUGGGGCCCAGCGACCACGUGGUUGAAGAGAAGCGACUCCCACGAAAGUUGUUCUGACCUCCACAUCUAUACUGUGUAUUAUUAUACACAAUAAGCAAAUCUAAUGUCUUAAAAUGUUUUCACAUCAAGGGGUGGGGUAGAGAGAUAGCAACUUGCCAUCCAAGUCUGAACUUGAUCUCUGGAACCCACAGUGGAAGGGGAGAACUGAUACCUGAAUUUGUCCUCUGAUCUCCAUAUAUUCCCACACUCAGAUAUAAUAAAGAUCUAUGUCAGGGGCUGAGCAGAUGGCUCCGAAGGGAAGAGCGUGCUGGCCAUUCAUACUAAGCAUGAGGUCAUGAAUUCAAAGUCCUGGAAUCCAUGGAAACAAACAAACACCAGUACGGUUGUGUGUGGAACCCCAGCACUGCAGGGGGUAGGCAGAGAUGAUGAAGUAGCCAAGCCAACGUGGGCCCUGGCACAUGUACGCCAGCAUUAGCGGCGGAGUUUUAGGGAGAAAGAAGCCAGAGCAGCGGUUUGUCCUCUUGUGGGACUGAGCCAAUAUCCACGCCCACUUACCAUGUUGUUCCAGAGGGCAAUGGCCAUCUCAGCAUGCCCACGGACUGAGAAGUGGAAACAGUCUUCAGAGAAGAAAGUGAGGUCGAGGCCCCCACGCUGUGACCGAGACAAGGAGGUUAACAUCUGGACUCAGCUGCCAGCCUUCCCGCCCAGUGGGGACACAGCAGGUCCCCUUUCAUCCUUUGGAUCCUGUUUCAACCUGCUUCAGACACUGGUGGGAAUCCCCACCACCACCACCUGGGGUUUUGAGUUUUGUUUUGUUUUGUUUUUAAGAAAACAUGAAUUAUAGCAUCCGUAGUUCUACCCUGUCCUG